CACAUGCAAGUCGAACGAGACCGUUCGGUCUAGUGGCGCACGGGUGCGUAACGCGUGGGAAUCUGCCCUUUGCUACGGAAUAACUCAGAGAAAUUUGUGCUAAUACCGUAUAAUGUCGUAAGACCAAAGAUUUAUCGGCAAAGGAUGAGCCCGCGUAAGAUUAGCUUGUUGGUGAGGUAAAGGCUCACCAAGGCGACGAUCUUUAGCUGGUCUGAGAGGAUGAUCAGCCACACUGGGACUGAGACACGGCCCAGACUCCUACGGGAGGCAGCAGUGGGGAAUAUUGGACAAUGGGCGAAAGCUUGAUCCAGCAAUGCCGCGUGAGUGAUGAAGGCCUUAGGGUUGUAAAGCUCUUUUACCAGGGAUGAUAAUGACAGUACCUGGAGAAUAAGCUCCGGCUAACUCCGUG
rnacentral:rRNA from 1 species